UUCCGUAGGUGAACCUGCGGAGGGAUCAUUACCGAGUUUACAACUCCCAAACCCCUGUGAACAUACCAAUUGUUGCCUCGGCGGAUCAGCCCGCUCCCGGUAAAACGGGACGGCCCGCCAGAGGACCCCUAAACUCUGUUUCUAUAUGUAACUUCUGAGUAAAACCAUAAAUAAAUCAAAACUUUCAACAACGGAUCUCUUGGUUCUGGCAUCGAUGAAGAACGCAGCAAAAUGCGAUAAGUAAUGUGAAUUGCAGAAUUCAGUGAAUCAUCGAAUCUUUGAACGCACAUUGCGCCCGCCAGUAUUCUGGCGGGCAUGCCUGUUCGAGCGUCAUUUCAACCCUCAAGCCCAGCUUGGUGUUGGGACUCGCGAGUCAAAUCGCGUUCCCCAAAUUGAUUGGCGGUCACGUCGAGCUUCCAUAGCGUAGUAGUAAAACCCUCGUUACUGGUAAUCGUCGCGGCCACGCCGUUAAACCCCAACUUCUGAAUGUUGACCUCGGAUCAGGUAGGAAUACCCGCUGAACUUAAGCAUAUCAAUAAGCGGAGGAAAA
rnacentral:rRNA from 1 species